UCCCCUGGCUCUCAAGACAUACUGCUAAUACUAAAACUUGUAAAGAAGUCACUCUGAAUUUCCAGGAAAUGGCAGUGAUUUCCUUAGACUUUGUGCCUCCUUUUGGAAGUUGUCUUAGCUUGAGUGUUCCAGGUCCGAUCCAGAUCUCCUGAAUCAGAAACUGCAUUUCAGCAACAUACCAGAGUGAUGCAAAUUUUAGUGUUCACCGGAGGACCUGGACUUGAUGUCUGAAGUUGCCUGCUCCACAGGAAACCACCUCCCUCUGCUGCUUGCUUUCUCUUGAGCCAACACCCAAAGCCACUAUCAGUGUCAUGGGGAUGAGACUUUUCAAGGCUGUUCCCACUUUCUUCUUCUUCUUCCCUGGCAGAAGGUAAAAACAUCAGUUUAAGAUGAUGAAACCAGAAGUUUUUGAGAAAAGUUUGUACAACAAUGACAAAGGCAAGCUCCUUUUACUUUAUUUUUUUACCCGUUUAUACAUAUUUAUUAACUUAAGUUGCUUUAUCACAAU